GACGAACGCUGGCGGCGUGCUUAACACAUGCAAGUCGAACGGAAAGGCCCUGCUUUUGUGGGGUGCUCGAGUGGCGAACGGGUGAGUAACACGUGAGUAACCUGCCCUUGACUUUGGGAUAACUUCAGGAAACUGGGGCUAAUACCAGAUAGGAGCUCCUGCUGCAUGGUGGGGGUUGGAAAGUUUCGGCGGUUGGGGAUGGACUCGCGGCUUAUCAGCUUGUUGGUGGGGUAGUGGCUUACCAAGGCUUUGACGGGUAGCCGGCCUGAGAGGGUGACCGGCCACAUUGGGACUGAGAUACGGCCCAGACUCCUACGGGAGGCAGCAGUGGGGAAUAUUGCACAAUGGGCGGAAGCCGGAUGCAGCAACGCCGCGUGCGGGAUGACGGCCUUCGGGUUGUAAACCGCUUUCGCCUGUGACGAAGCGUGAGUGACGGUAAUGGGUAAAGAAGCACCGGCUAACUACGUG
rnacentral:rRNA from 1 species